AUUGAACGCUGGCGGCAGGCUUAAUACAUGCAAGUCGAGGGGUAGCAAGAUUGUAGCAAUACAAUUGUUGACGACCGGCAAACGGGUGCGGAACACGUACACAACCUUCCUACAAGUGGGGAAUAGCCCAGAGAAAUUUGGAUUAAUACCCCGUAACAUAGCGAUGUGGCAUCACAUUGCUAUUAUAGCUUCGGCGCUUGUUGAUGGGUGUGCGGCUGAUUAGAUAGUUGGCGGGGUAACGGCCCACCAAGGCGACGAUGGGUAGGGGUCCUGAGAGGGAGAUCCCCCACACUGGUACUGAGACACGGACCAGACUCCUACGGGAGGCAGCAGUGAGGAAUAUUGGUCAAUGGACGCAAGUCUGAACCAGCCAUGCCGCGUGCAGGAUGACGGUCCUAUGGAUUGUAAACUGCUUUUGUACGAGAAGAAACACUCCAACGUGUUGGAGCUUGACGGUAUCGUAAGAAUAAGGAUCGGCUAACUCCGUGCCAGCCGCCGCGGUAAGAC
rnacentral:rRNA from 1 species